rnacentral:rRNA from 1 species
GUCUACGGCCAUGCCACCCUGAACAAGCCUGAUGUCUGAUCUCCGAAGCUAAGCAGGGUCGGGCCUGGUUAGUACCUGGAUGGGAGACCACCUAGGAAGACCAGGUGCUGUAGGCA